rnacentral:rRNA from 1 species
GGACGCAAGUCUGACGGAGCAACGCCGCGUGAGUGAUGAAGGUUUUCGGAUCGUAAAGCUCUGUUGCCAGGGAAGAACGCUUGGGAGAGUAACUGCUCUCAAGGUGACGGUACCUGAGAAGAAAGCCCCGGCUAACUACGUGCCAGCAGCCGCGGUAAUACGUAGGUGGCAAGCGUUGUCCGGAAUUAUUGGGCGUAAAGCGCGCGCAGGUGGGAUAAUCAGUCUGAUGUUAAAGUUCGGGGCUUAACCCCGUGAAGCAUUGGAUACUGUUAUUCUUGAGUGCAGGAGAGGAAAGUGGAAUUCCUAGUGUAGCGGUGAAAUGCGUAGAUAUUAGGAGGAACACCAGUGGCGAAGGCGACUUUCUGGACUGUGUCUGACACUGAGGCGCGAAAGCCAGGGUAGUGAACGGGAUUAGAUACCCCGGUAAUCCUGGCCGUAAACGAUGGGUACUAGGUGUUGGGGGUAUCGACCCCUCCAGUGCCGGAGUUAACGCAAUAAGUACCCCGCCUGGGGAGUAC